GGUAGAACUACUGUAACCAACUUAUUAGAGUUAUAAAGUAACCAAAAGCAAGAGUGCAGAAUUCUUUGGACACAAAGAGUGAUAAAUGAAGCACCAAUAGCCGCACGAAGCCAAGAAAGGAAACAGAAGAAAGAGGACAAAAAAAGAUAAUGGUUGAAAAAG
rnacentral:lncRNA from 12 species